rnacentral:rRNA from 1 species
UGGGGAAUUUUGGACAAUGGGCGAAAGCCUGAUCCAGCAAUGCCGCGUGUGUGAAGAAGGCCUUCGGGUUGUAAAGCACUUUUGUCCGGAAAGAAAUCCUUGGCUCUAAUACAGUCGGGGGAUGACGGUACCGGAAGAAUAAGCACCGGCUAACUACGUGCCAGCAGCCGCGGUAAUACGUAGGGUGCAAGCGUUAAUCGGAAUUACUGGGCGUAAAGCGUGCGCAGGCGGUUUGCUAAGACCGAUGUGAAAUCCCCGGGCUCAACCUGGGAACUGCAUUGGUGACUGGCAGGCUAGAGUAUGGCAGAGGGGGGUAGAAUUCCACGUGUAGCAGUGAAGUGCGUAGAGAUGUGGAGGAAUACCGAUGGCGAAAGGCAGCCCCCCUGGGCCAAUACUGACGCUCAUGCACGAAAGCGUGGGGAGCAAACAGGAUUAGAUACCCUGGUAGUCCACGCCCUAAACGAUGUCAACUAGUUGUUGGGGAUUCAUUUCCUUAGUAACGUAGCUAACGCGUGAAGUUGACCGCCUGGGGAAUACGGUCGCAAGAUUAAAACUCAAAGGAAUUGACGGGG